UGCUCAUAUAAAUUUGUUAGUCUCUUAGGUGCCACAAGUACUCCUUUUCUUUUUGUGGAUACAGACUAACAGCUGCUACUCUGAAACCUGUCAUUUUACAAGAAAUGUAAGCCUUGACAUGAUAUAGAGUCAUACUAAUUAAAUACAGCAUAAUUUUUGUCCCUGUUACUCAAUUAUGCACUGAGCAAAAGGUUUUCAUAUAACAGGAUAUAAAAUAACUGCAAUUUUCAAUUCCUUCCAGCUACUGUCACUACUGGAUUCCAUAAACUGAAAAGGGUUAACUACCUGUAAAUAUAAGCAUCCUUACCUACACUCUCGUCUCUCCAUCUUUUUAAAAAUUAGAGCUCAUAUCUGUAAAAUCAGAGAUCAUAUCUGUUUUUUCUCAUUAGCACUCAUGCUGAUGAUUAAACUUGCAAUAUUAAAGGCUUUGAAGUAUCCCCGCCCUUUUGGCUCUUCACUUGCAGUUACAAGUGAUGAGGAGCAGACAGUCAUUCUCUUACCAGAGCCAGGCUGUAAAUUGUUUGUACUGCACCUCUUCAGGAUCCUCUUUUCCAUGUUUUAACUGCAUCUCCAGCUCUGCCCGUCUCCCCUGCAGAAUCACAACAUAAAUCAGAAGGAAAUCUUACAUGGGUAAUAAUCUUGAAAUUUCUGUAGGGAACACUUGUGUAAUGGAUGUAACCUCUCCCUUGAGAUUCAUAUCAUGACUGGACCUAAUUGUUCUUGAUACUAUAUCCCAUUGUAAUAUACAAGUGAAAGAACUGCUAUUUUUGAUUCUGGGAAGAGUGGAGUGGUUGCUACAGACAGAAAUAAUCGCUCCAGCUUCCUAAUGAUGGAAGGAAACUUAUUCCCUUGUAACAAAGAAGGAUUGACAAACUUGUAUCCCACAGGGAAGAAGAUUUGGAAACCAACUACCUCAAAGGAUAACAUGACCCAGAAACACCAAAACCAACAGGAAAAAUGCAGAAGUUGCAUAACUGAAGCUUGGACUUGAGUAACGUAGGGAUUACAUUAAAAAAAAAAAAACCAAGUGGUGAUAUGCUAGAAGCCAACUGGAUAAAGAUUAAAUAAUUUGUAAUGUGAAGAUUUAUAAGGAUCCAAGUGAACAGGGGCCCAAACUGGAGAAGCACUGCACCAGAAACUGAAGGAUGCGACUGAAGGACCAAACAAUGAGAUCGGGGAGGAGACGACGGCCAUCAUGGAAAGACUUCUCAGUGCUCUUUAAUGUGGUAACCUGGGCCCAUUUACCUAUUCUGUCUUGUCUGUUAUUAUUUGUCUGUCUUAAAUUUAUGUCCAGACACUAAGUAAUAAUAAUUCUGUCUGAAAUUGUAUAAGUAAAGACAAAAACUGAUUAAGCCUAAA